CUCGUAGGUGGUUUGUCGCGUUGUUCGUGAAAACUCACAGCUUAACUGUGGGCGUGCGGGCGAUACGGGCUGACUUGAGUACUACAGGGGAGACUGGAAUUUCUGGUGUAGCGGUGGAAUGCACAGAUAUCAGGAAGAACACCGAUGGCGAAGGCAGGUCUCUGGGUAGUAACUGACGCUGAGGAGCGAAAGCAUGGGUAGCGAACA
rnacentral:rRNA from 1 species